CCUACGGGGGACAGCAGUGAGGAAUAUUGGUCAAUGGACGGAAGUCUGAACCAGCCAUGCCGCGUGCAGGAAGACGGCUCUAUGAGUUGUAAACUGCUUUUGUACAAGGGUAAACCUGAAUACGUGUAUUCAGCUGAAUGUACCGUACGAAUAAGGAUCGGCUAACUCCGUGCCAGCAGCCGCGGUAAUACGGAGGAUCCAAGCGUUAUCCGGAUUUAUUGGGUUUAAAGGGUGCGUAGGCGGCUUGAUAAGUUAGAGGUGAAAUGUCCGGGCUUAACUCGGGAACUGCCUCUAAUACUGUUGGUCUAGAGGGUAGCUGCGGUAGGCGGAAUGUAUGGUGUAGCGGUGAAAUGCUUAGAGAUCAUGCAGAACACCGAUUGCGAAGGCAGCUUACCAAUCUAUAUCUGACGUUGAGGCACGAAAGCGUGGGGAGCAAACAGGAUUAGAUACCCGGGUAGUC
rnacentral:rRNA from 1 species